rnacentral:rRNA from 1 species
AACAAACGCUGGCGGCGUGCAUAACACAUGCAAGUCUAACGGGAAAGUCGGCUUCGGCUGGCAAGUACCGUGGCGAACGGGUGAGUAACACGUGGGUAAUCUAACCUCGAGUUUGGGAUAACCUUGCGAAAGCGGGGCUAAUACCGAAUAAGACCACGCUUGGUUCGCCAAGUGCGGUAAAAGGCGGCCUCUUCUUGAAAGCUGUCACUUGAGGAUGAGCCCGCGGCCUAUUAGCUAGUUGGUAGGGUAAUGGCCUACCAAGGCGACGAUGGGUGGCCGGCCUGAGAGGGUGUACGGCCACACUGGCACUGAGAUACGGGCCAGACUCCUACGGGAGGCAGCAGUGGGGAAUUUUGCGCAAUGGGGGAAACCCUGACGCAGCAACGCCGCGUGAGUGAUGAAGGCCUUCGGGUCGUAAAGCUCUUUUAGUGGGGAAGAAUCCCACCCGGGCUAAUACCUCGGGUGUCUGACGGUACCCACAGAAAAAGUUCCGGCUAACUACGUGCCAGCCGCCGCGGUAACAC